UACACGCUGUGACUAGCAUAUCAAUAAGCGGAGGAAAAGAAACUAACAAGGAUUCCCCUAGUAACGGCGAGUGAAGCGGGAAGAGCUCAAAUUUGAAAUCUUAAAGGGUUUCCCUUUACGAAUUGUAGCUUAAAGAAGUGUUUUCUGUUGAGGUUUUGGUAAAAGUUCUUUGGAAUAGGACAUCAUAGAGGGUGAGAAUCCCGUAUUUGACCUUUACUUUCAACUUUGUGAUACACUUUCAAAGAGCCGGAUUGUUUGGGAAUGCAGUCCAAAAUGGGUGGUAAAUUUCAUCUAAAGCUAAAUAUUGGCGAGAGACCGAUAGCGAACAAGUACCGUGAGGGAAAGAUGAAAAGAACUUUGAAAAGAGAGUUAAACAGUACGUGAAAUUGUCAAAAGGGAAGCGUUUGACACCAGUGUUGUUUUUCUGAAAAUCAAUUAAAGAACUGUUUAUGCUAAGCUGUUUAGACUUUAUCAGCUAACUGUUUAGUUUUGAGCUUUUCUUUAAUGCACUUUUCAGUUAACAAGUCAACAUCAAUUUCUUUUGCUGUAAAAAAGCUUGAGGAAGGUGGCUUGAGAUUCGUCUUAAGUGUUUAUAGCCUCUUGCCUAUGCAGUCGGAGAGAUUGAGGUCUGCGGCGUAGAUCCUUCGGGGCUAAAUGCAUUUGUGCUAAGUUAUGGCAUUUCAUAGACAACUUGUUGACUAUGAUUUGUCUUGUAGCUUACUCGCUUAUGUUAUUUUACCUACGCUUAGGAUGUUGACGCGCGUGUGUGCGUG
rnacentral:rRNA from 1 species